rnacentral:rRNA from 1 species
GACGAACGCUGGCGGCGUGCCUAAUACAUGCAAGUUGAGCGCUGAAGGUUGGUACUUGUACCAACUGGAUGAGCAGCGAACGGGUGAGUAACGCGUGGGGAAUCUGCCUUUGAGCGGGGGACAACAUUUGGAAACGAAUGCUAAUACCGCAUAAAAACUUUAAACACAAGUUUUAAGUUUGAAAGAUGCAAUUGCAUCACUCAAAGAUGAUCCCGCGUUGUAUUAGCUAGUUGGUGAGGUAAAGGCUCACCAAGGCGAUGAUACAUAGCCGACCUGGGAGGAUGAUCAGCCACAUUGGGACUGAGACACGGCACAAACUCCUACGGGAGGCAGCAGUAGGGAAUCUUCGGCAAUGGACGAAAGUCUGACCGAGCAACGCCGAGUGAGGGAAGAAGGUUGUCGGAUCGGAAAACUCGGUUGGUAGAGAAGAACGUUGGUGAGAGUGGAAAGCUCAUCAAGUGACGGUAACUACCCAGAAAGGGACGGCUAACUACGUG